AAUCAAUAAUACAUAAAAGUCGAACUGAGCCAACUGAUGCACACUACUACACAAUAGUGUUUAUAAUUUUAAAUCUAAUUUAUAGAUGAUAAUAUUGUUGACACCCAGCUUUGACCUCCCGAUGCUCUCUUAGGCUUCAAUUUUUAUCAAAAUUAUUUAACUGUUAAUAUCAAUAUAUUUACGCAUUAUUGUGGUAUCAAAUAAUUUUCGACAAGCCACAUUUAUGAUUUAAAAAAUACAUAAAUUAUUUUAUUACUUUUAGUAUUAUUUUUACCAUUUAUUAAUCCAAAUAUAGUAUUUUACAUAAUUUUAUUAAUAUUUACUAAAUCAUCCAUAAAUAUGCACUUAUAAUUU
rnacentral:lncRNA from 1 species